UAGGGAAUCUUCGGCAAUGGGGGCAACCCUGACCGAGCAACGCCGCGUGAGUGAAGAAGGUUUUCGGAUCGUAAAACUCUGUUGUUAGAGAAGAACACGAGUGAGAGUAACUGUUCUUGUAUUGACGAUAUCUAACCAGAAAGCCACGGCUAACUACGUGCCAG
rnacentral:rRNA from 1 species